UAAUGAUGAUGAUGAUGAUGAUGGUGAUGAUAUUGAUGAUGGUCAUCAUUGUCAUCAUUAUCAUCAUCAUCAUAA
rnacentral:pre_miRNA from 1 species